rnacentral:rRNA from 1 species
AUUGAACGCUGGCGGCAGGCUUAACACAUGCAAGUCGAACGAGUGGCGGACGGGUGAGUAAUGCUUGGGAAUCUAGCUGAUGGAGGGGGAUAACUACUGGACACGGUAGCUAAUACCGCAUACCAUAAGAUGAGCCCAGAUGGGAUUAGGUAGUUGGUGGGGUAAAGGCGCACAAAGCCGACGAUCUCUAGCUGGUCUGAGAGGAUGACCAGCCACACGGGGACUGAGACACGGCCCAGACUCCUACGGGAGGCAGCAGUGGGGAAUAUUGCGCAAUGGGGGCAAGCCUGAUGCAGCCAUGCCGCGUGAGUGAAGAAGGCCUUCGGGUUGUAAAGCACUUUCGGCAGAGAGGCGUUAAUGACAGAAGAAGCACCGGCUAACUCCGUGCCAGCAGCCGCGGUAAUAC